rnacentral:lncRNA from 1 species
GAGACUGAAGCAUUUCCUCCUCAAGACUUCCUUGCUGACUCCAGUGGUGAAGAAUAUCUCCCUGAAAGUCCAAAAUUGGCAACUGCCACCAUGAUUAGGGGAGUUUCCUUUUUCCUUCUCCUCCCUUUCCCUACUUUUAUUACACUUGUCCAUGAUCUGUUCUGAUUUCUGAUCUGAUGAUUGUGACACAUUGAGGACACUGUGUAGUUUAAGUGUUGUCUAUUGGGGGAGACUCUGAUUUUUCUUUGUUAGUUUAUGUUUUCUGCGUUAAUUUUUUUUUUCUAGGUAGUUGUUGUUUUGUUUUGUGUAUAGUUUUGUAUGUUUCUCUUGAUUUAUGGACUUUGUUUAGGUUGUAGGUUUGUCUUUCACUUCAUUGAUACUCUGAUUUGUUGGAAAUCCUUGCAUUUCUUUGCUUACUGAAAGAUGAUUAUGAUGCUUGAGAGGUUGGAUUGAUUGUGACAAAAUUACCUUGUGCGAGAUUAGAGCCAUUUGAUGAUCUUUCUUGUGUGUGAUAUGUCUCUUGAUUGCUUGCACAUAUGCUUUGGCUUGACUCUUUUUGAUGAUUCUUGAUUGAUAUGCAUGUUUGAAAGUGAUAAAGGCAGUUUCNUUGUUGAGCCUCUCUAUCCAAAUGAGCCUACCCUGUUUUUAUCCUUUGAUAACNCCUUUUGAGUCUAUGCUUUCCCCAUUUCUUUGUUUUGAAGCUCAUACACUAGCCCUAACUGAAAAACCAUGUUUACCUUAACCUUAGGGAAUUUUGGAGCUUUGGAAUUGUUUUGGGAAUAAGUGUGGUCUUUCGGGAGAUUAAGAUGAAUUGGCUAGUUGGUUCCUCUUCUUGUUUUGUUUUGUAAAUAUGUUUUGUAUCUUGUCUCUUAAAGUUGUGUUCUGAGAAGAGAGAAAAGAAAAGAGACAAGAUGAAAAAAAAAAAAAUACAGAAAAAUGAGAAAAAUUAAAAAAAAUUGUGUGAAUAAUGGAGUCAAGAAGAGGAUUGAAUUAGAGGGUUUUGGGUGUGAUUUGACUGUGUUUUCACUUGUUCCCCAUUGCUCCUCUAUUCCUUUUGGUUUAUAGUUUCUCAUCCAUAUUAUAUCCUCC